rnacentral:tRNA from 1 species
CAACUGGGCACCAACACUUGGUCCGAUCACUGACGGCGAUAGUGACGCGUCGUUUGAGGCAGGCC